UCUGGAAGGAUUUUAUGACCAGAUCUUCCU
rnacentral:piRNA from 1 species